GCCAGCGUGGCAUAGUUGGUUUGAGCAUUGGACUAGGACUCUGGAGACGGAGUUCGAAUCCCAGCUCAGUCA